GACGAACGCUGGCGGCGUGCUUAACACAUGCGAGUCGAACGGAAAGGCCCUGCUUUUGUGGGGUGCUCGAGUGGCGAACGGGUGAGUAACACGUGAGUAACCUGCCCUUGACUUUGGGAUAACUUCAGGAAACUGGGGCUAAUACCGGAUAGGAGCUCCUGCUGCAUGGUGGGGGUUGGAAAGUUUCGGCGGUUGGGGAUGGACUCGCGGCUUAUCAGCUUGUUGGUGGGGUAGUGGCUUACCAAGGCUUUGACGGGUAGCCGGCCUGAGAGGGUGACCGGCCACAUUGGGACUGAGAUACGGCCCAGACUCCUACGGGAGGCAGCAGUGGGGAAUAUUGCACAAUGGGCGGAAGCCUGAUGCAGCAACGCCGCGUGCGGGAUGACGGCCUUCGGGUUGUAAACCGCUUUCGCCUGUGACGAAGCGUGAGUGACGGUAAUGGGUAAAGAAGCACCGGCUAACUACGUGCCAGCAGCCGCGGUGAUACGUAGGGUGCGAGCGUUGUCCGGAUUUAUUGGGCGUAAAGGGCUCGUAGGUGGUUGAUCGCGUCGGAAGUGUAAUCUCGGGGCUUAACCCUGAGCGUGCUUUCGAUACGGGUUGACUUGAGGAAGGUAGGGGAGAAUGGAAUUCCUGGUGGAGCGGUGGAAUGCGCAGAUAUCAGGAGGAACACCAGUGGCGAAGGCGGUCCUCUGGGCCUUUCCUGGCGCUGAGGAGCGAAAGCGUGGGGAGCGAACAGGCUUAGAUACCCUGGUAGUCCACGCUGUAAACGGUGGGUACUAGGUGUGGGGUCCAUUCCACGGGUUCCGUGCCGUAGCUAACGCUUUAAGUACCCCGCCUGGGGAGUACGGCCGCAAGGCUAAAACUCAAAGGAAUUGACGGGGCCCCGCACAAGCGGCGGAGCAUGCGGAUUAAUUCGAUGCAACGCGUAGAACCUUACCUGGGUUUGACAUGGAUCGGGAGUGCUCAGAGAUGGGUGUGCCUCUUUUGGGGUCGGUUCACAGGUGGUGCAUGGCUGUCGUCAGCUCGUGUCGUGAGAUGUUGGGUUAAGUCCCGCAACGAGCGCAACCCUUGUUCACUGCUGCCAGCACGUUAUGGUGGGGACUCAGUGGAGACCGCCGGGGUCAGCUCGGAGGAAGGUGGGGAUGACGUCAAGUCAUCAUGCCCCUUAUGUCCAGGGCUUCACGCAUGCUACAAUGGCUGGUACAGAGAGUGGCGAGCCUGUGAGGGUGAGCGAAUCUCGGAAAGCCGGUCUCAGUUCGGAUUGGGGUCUGCAACUCGACCUCAUGAAGUCGGAGUCGCUAGUAAUCGCAGAUCAGCAACGCUGCGGUGAAUACGUUCCCGGG
rnacentral:rRNA from 1 species